rnacentral:rRNA from 1 species
UGCGAAAUUGUUUUGGCAAAUUGUUUAUUCCUCUUAAAAAUAGUAGGUAUAGCACUGAAUAUCUCGAGGGAGUAUGAAAAUAUUUAUCUCAGAUAUUUAAUCUCAAAAUAACUAUUUCUUAAAAUAAAUAAUCAGACUAUGUGCGAUAAGGUAGAUAGUCGAAAGGGAAACAGCCCAGAACAGUAAUUAAAGCUCCCCAAUUAAUAUUAAGUGAA